UCAGUAAAGUAUUUAUUAAAUUCUUUCGCUAUUUCAUUUGGUUCAUAUACACAUACAUUGUUUAUCUUAAUCAUUUUCGGAAGGAAAUUUGAACAGGUUAUUUCGGAAACGGGAAAAUUCGCAUCGUACACCGAGAAGAAUGUAUUAAAGAACUUAUUAUAGAUUACAUUUAUGUCUUCAUUAAAAUUUAUAUGCUUCC
rnacentral:lncRNA from 1 species